UCCCUGGUGGUCCAGUGGUGAAGGCUCUGUGCUUCUAUUGCAGGGGGCGCGGGUUCGAGCCCCGGUCGGGGAA